AUCUGUAAAAAAAGAUAGGUGUGAUUAUGUCAUCAACCUAUCAUUGUUCACAUAUAGAGUAUGGUACAUGAUACUCAAUACAAAUCUACCGAUAGUUAAACAUUGGAAGAGCUGCAAUCUUGUAAAACUGGGGGGCCUGAUAACUCAGCACCAGUGAUUACUAUAAAAUCCAGGCAUUGUGCCCAUAGAAAGCUCACAGCUAGUGGUGUGCUCCUGCGUACUUUUUACCCAUUGAGGCAUAAUGCUUACCAACAAUGAGUUUGCAUAGUCUUAAACUUGUGCCAGUUGUUCCUGUUACUUAUACAGUAUGUACAAUUGUGUCUGCAUGAAGUAAGUUGAAUGCUUUGGAAAGACUGGAAAUAUCAAAUGUAAACUGUAAUCCUGCAUUAUCUGUAUAGUUUAGGGAGAAUGAUAAUUUUACAAUGCCAAUAGAGACUCAUAAGUUGUGGUUGAGUCUAUAUGAAAAUGCUUUGGGUGUAUAUAACAACUGAAUAAGUGUAAAGUUAUUUAUUAAAAUUGUACAUCAGUCUUUUUAUGCUUCCCUGACUUACUAAUCUAAAAAAAAAGACUUCCAUUGCACUCAGUUUUGUGUCUACUGGUGGACACUUAAGGCGGGGAAAUAAUUACACUUACUUAACAUGGACCUCUGAUGCGACUUCCACUAAAUCACCAUCUACAUUCCAAGGGAAAUUGUUUUCUGAAGCAGCUGCAUGCCUCCCAGCAUCCUCCUCUAGAUUGGGUGUGCUAUUAGUCCUCGGACGAACUUUAACCUCUUCAACAGUGUAAGUCUCAACAAACGGAAAAUUGAACUAAAUAAAACAAAUGUAAAUCAUCAUGGUACUUGCUUUAUCCCUACACUGCUAAUGAAAGUUCACCGUGCUCUCUCUUGCAUGUAAAUAUCAACAUGCAUGACGACAUUGUUAUAGCAUUGAAAGUCCAGACCAGGGAUCCUCAAUUUCUUUGGUAGAUCUAGCUACUGGCAAACCUGUUUUAUGACCAAUAGUAGAUGUGUAUGCAUUUGUAUACAGUACCAUACAAUUUCCAAUUAAAGACUGAGUUUUUAAUACCUGUCGACACAGAAGAUUUAUAUAAUCCACUAACUUGUCAACUUGUAUGGGUGAGGUCAAGCAAACUCUUAAGUUUCACACUUAGAAUUUAAUUAGGAAGAACCUCGGUCUAAGCUUAUGAAGGAGAAAAGAGAAAGUCAAUCUGAUGUGAGUUUUGCAGGUGUUCUUCCUGCCUCAUUUCCCACUUUAAAGAUGCACACAUGUUGCAAGACAGUUGUUUGCUUUCUGAGCACUCCACAUGGUGCACAGUAUCUUCAAAUUUCCAUUUUUCUUGUUUAAGGAAAGUUUAGUGGAAAAGUAUUUAUUCCCAUAAAUAAUAUAGCCAAAUACCUUUUUAGUAGCAAUGUACAAUAAUAGCUCAUUUAUUUCACUUUUUAGGCAAAUGACAUGGGGUUUACUCCUAUUGUUUUUUUCCCCCUUCCACAUAUGAACCUCAGUGAGGUACAGAAUUUUAAAAGUUGACAGAAAACUAACAUUCUCCCCCACACCCUUAUUUUACAUAUGUAGAAGUCCAGCAUAUUUUACAGUUUAUACUGUAUAAUGCAGUGGAUUACAUAAUGGUUUAUACUGGGUUUACAUGGUGGCAUCGGCUGUUCUAAUUGAGGUAUAGAAUUAGAGUGCCCCAAGUAGCUCUCUGUGAAACUGCUUGGCAGUCACUGCAUUAGACUUCCCUUCAUCUCAGAUAUAAAGCCAUGGGGACCUCAUUCCAUGUUAAUUUGUAAAAAAGAAUGUGUUUUAAAUGAGUCAUUGAUAACUGGCUGCUAUGGGUUAAAUUGUAUUCCCAAUACAAAUACGUAGAAGUCCUAACUCUUGGUGCCUGUAAAUGUCACCAUAUUUGGAAAGAGGGUCUUUGCAGAUGUGAUGGAGCUAAGAUGAGGUCAUCUGGUUGAGCCCUAAUACAAUAUGACUGAUGUCCUUUAAAGAGAAGAAUGCCAUGUGACAAAAGAGACUGCAGCAGACAACUGUAAGCCAAGAGAUUUCAAGAAGUGAUGGCCACCACCCGUAAGUCUAUUAUCUUAAAUCCUCAGUUUUCAUGUGCAUACUUCGCAAAAUGAAGCUCCAUGCAUCCCAGCAAAUUCAUUUCCUACGAAGCAACAUUGGUAGAUGGGACUUUAGGGAGCCAUGAGCUUAAUACCUCAUGUGAGGGUAUGUUUAAGAUGUGAGGAAGAGAAGUGAACAGUUAAAACUGUGAUACAUACAAGUGCCAUGAUGGUGUAAGCAUAGAGUUAAAGGACAGAAACAAGAGGCAAACAGGCCCAGGAUGUUGGGUGAGCUUCCCAUCUGAAGGAGUCUUAACACAGAAGAGUUAGCCUGAAGGAGGAGAAGGGAGGAAGAUUUGGAGAGGAGACAUUUGCUAAGUAUGGAGAUAUGGCAAUCAUCACACAACUACAAAACAUUGAGCAUACUGUGAUAUUGUAAUAGUGGUGUUCUGUCACUUAGUUUUACAGAAGAUAUAAAUGCCUGUGUUUGAUUUUUUUUUUUUUUUUUUUUUUAGAGACAUAGAUGGUAUCAUGGGCUGAAUUGGGUCUCUCCCUCAAAGUUAUAAGUUGAUAUCAUAACUCCUUGUACCUUAGAAUGUAACCACAGUUAGAGAUAAGGUCUUUAAAGGCAUGAUUAAAAGGAGGUUUUUAGGGUAGGCCCUAAUCCACCAUGACUGGUGUCCUUAAAAGAAGAAAUUGGGACAUACAGACACUAAGGGAUGUGCAUGCAUACAGGAAAGACCACAUGAAGACAUAGCCAGAAAGCAGACAUCUCUAAGCCAAGGAGAGAGGCCUUGGGAGAAAUCAGACCUGUCAACACCAUCUUGGACUUCUUAUCCUCAGAAUUAUAAAAAAAUAGAUUUCUGUUAAGGCACCCAAAUCUAUCGUAUCUGUCAUGGCAGCCCUAACACGAGUACAAUGGCCAAAACAUAGGAAAUCUGGCGAGGAUGGCCAGAGGUGAGGCAACAUAACGGCCAGAAUACAAGGGCCAUGAAUUCUAUGCUGAGGAAAUGAGAUGUCAUCUUGACAAGAAUGAGCAAGGCAUUGAAGAAUUCAGCAGGAGAGAAACAGGUGUUUUAUAAAUUCUGGCCGAGAAGUAUUUCGUGCAAUUAUAAGAGCCAUGCUUCCGUUAUUUAAUCUGAAAUUAAAUUUUUAUACGGGAAACUGAGAAGUUUAUUAAGUGAUUGCAACCGAAAUUACCGUGUAUCAUUCCUUCCAACAAACAUCAUGUUUACUAGAAGUUUUAGGUAAGAUAGAUUAAUCAUCAUCACAUUAAAUUUACCUGAACUUCUUAAAUCUUAUCUCGCUGUAUUAUUUUUAAACAGCACAGACCUUCAAAUUAAUUCGAUUAAACAAUUGACUCCCUUCUGAGCAAGCUCUUAUAUUAAGGGCUUUUUAAAAAAAUGAACCAUCAGGCAUCCUAUUCAUGUAUCAAGACAUCAUUUAAAAUCCAAUGUAUUUACUUAAGGAUUCUAAACGUGAAAUCACGUAUGUUUUUAGAAGAUGUAAAAUAGUGAAUAAAUACAAAUGGUAUGACGAUUGUUCUUUCUAAAAACCUAGUGUGAUUUAAAUAUUUAUUUAUAGGCAGAUCUAAGUGACAUAGGAAAAUAAAGUGGCCCUUGGAUGGAUGGGAGGGACGCAUGCUACCACACAUGUUCAGUUAAAUGACUGAGCAUUUUAAUCUUGCAUAACUGUUCAGUUUAAUAUAAGACACUGCAAAUUUAGAGAUGUGAUUUAGUGCCAAAAAAGCCACUCACAAUUGCACGUAGCUUUAGAAGGCAGUUUGCAGAAAUAUGUGCAAAUGACUUCUAGCUUGAUUUCAAGGCAAAUAUAAAGUUAUUCCAAGAAUAACAACAACAUAAAAAAGAGCUCUUUAAGUCUUAUGGAAGCUCAGGGUAGAACUUGUAAGGGACCCUGGAGAUUAUCCAGUCAUUCACUCAGUUUAUAUAGAAGGAAGAGAGGACCCCAAGUUUAAGUCAACUGUUCAGAGGCACACAGAUCUGAAAGCAAAAUGAUCACUGGUACCAGAUCUCUUAAUUGCCAGGGUCCAAUGUUCAUUUUACUCAACAUCCCACCUCUUCCCACCUGCAAAUAAAUAGUAUCAAAACACAUUCAGAGUAAUGUUUUGUGUGUUUAUUUUUUAAAAAUUGCUGAAUUUUUACUCAGAAACAUGAAAGCACUUCAUGUCUACUUUCAAUACUUAUUAGUAAUUGAAACACACCCUAUAUACUUGUCACUGUUCUAAAUGGUUUUUUUUAACAUAUUAUGCAUUUAUUCUCUGAACACUUAAUACUGAUUUCUAUCAGCAAUUUGCACUGAUGCCUUUUGAAUUAAAUUAUACUUUGCUGUGGAAAAAAAAUAAAACUGAAAGUUGAAUCUCCUGUGCAAUGAUCCUGAAUCAUUCAGAAGAUUAAUCUC